rnacentral:rRNA from 1 species
UACGUAGGGAGCAAGCGUUGUCCGGAAUCAUUGGGCGUAAAGCGCGCGUAGGUGGCCUCAUAAGUCCGCUGUGAAAGUCAAAGGCUCAACCUUUGAAAGCCGGUGGAUACUGUGGGGCUAGAGUACGGAAGAGGCGAGUGGAAUUCCUGGUGUAGCGGUGGAAUGCGCAGAUAUCAGGAGGAACACCGGUGGCGAAGGCGGUUCUCUGGGCAUUACCUGACGCUGAGGAGCGAAAGUGUGGGGAGCGAACAGG